rnacentral:rRNA from 1 species
AUGAUAAUGCCGGUAGAGAGCCCACAUGAUGGCAUCAUAACUGGAUGUCAUGUCCAUGACAUAAUGUUUGAUAUGAUAUGUCUACUAUCAAAGGAAGAAAACUUUGUUACGGUAUUGGGUAGUAACGAGAAAUAUACAACUUCACAUUGCAAUGCUCGUAGGCUAGCUAUUCAUCGAGGAUUCCAACCUCUGGCUAGCACGUCUACAUUUCAAGCAAGGUCACUUAAUGCCAUGUGCAAUGCUAAUUUGUUGCCAUCACUUUCAUGCUUUGAAGUUUUGCGUGUCCUAGUUUUGGAAAGCCCCUCUAAUAGGCACAAUCCCGAUUCUUAUGAGCAUAAUGGGAAGUUAGUCCACUUGAGGUAUCUCAAACUAGCGAACAUACAUAUCUCUGAGCUCCCAGAGGAAAUAGGAGAGCUAAAGUUCUUGCUGGUACUAGACUUGAGUGCAAAAGGGAUAAAUAAACUUCCAGAGAGUAUUGGUCUACUGAGUCAACUCAAGUGCUUGAAUAUCUGCAGAACAAACAUUGAAGUGCCAUCCUGGAUCGGAAAUUUGACGUCGCUGGAAGAGCUAUGCCUGAAUGGAGUUGAGAAGCACUCGAACUUCGUGACAGAGCUGGGCAAGUUGACAGAGUUGAGGAAGCUCCGCGUGUCUGAUGUUUUAUAUUUAGAUAGUGUUGGCACAAUGAAUGCUUGGGCGGAGUCUGUAGCUAAGCUGAAUAAGAUUGAAGUCAUAGACAUUCAGUUUAUUUUCUCAGUUAGAACUUCUGGCCAUGAGACCCCCUGGGAAUGGAAGGUCCUCCCUCCACAACUCCGUGUCCUACGCAUGGCCUACCUAGAACCUGAGCUGGUAGCAAGGAUCAAUCCCUCGCUUCUUCCGAACAUGUCCCAUUUAGAACUAUUUGUAUACAGUCCAGAACUGGAGGUCUUUGGAAGUUUCCAAGAGCUUGUUGCCCUCGAGCUGUUCAUCGGUCCAUCAGCUCUCCACCAUGACACCAUGGGCGGUAUAGGUGCGUUCCCCAAACUGAGGGUCUUCAAGACACAAUCAACGAUUGGCUCGUUCGUAGAGGGAGAUAUGCCAGUCCUUGAAUAUCUUGAGUUCCACACCGUAGCACAGUCCAAUGAUGACGACAUUAGCUUUGACUUUGACUUUGGUAGCCUAGAAAACCUCCCUUUGCUUCAACACGUCUCGGUCCUUGUAUCUACCCCUGAGGCGGACCGCGAGAAGGCUGAGGAAACGGUGAGGCAUGCAACUGAUAUGCUUCCCAACCAUGUCAACCUUCGAUUCACAAUAGCUGAGGCAGCUCUGCAUAUUAUGCUGAGGUGUGUACUUAUCUCUAUUACUAGUAUAGAUGUCCACGGGCAGCUAGCCAGCUAUCUUAUGUAUAUCUUUUUCCAGAGACCUCAGAAACCGGAUAAUCAGUUAGCCAUGUA